AGUGCCCGGCUGCAAGCAAGGGGCGGUCGAUCCCGGCUUUUCGGAUUACUGAAGUUCCACCCGUCUCUGCGCCGCGCCGCCGUGACGCGUGCGUCUCUGCGCCUGCGCCACGCCUCCACCCCUGGACGCGCUAGCAUGUGUCUCUGCGCCUGCGCCGGCGCGGCGCGCCUCUCUGCGCCUGCGCCGGCGCGGCGCGCCUCUCUGCGCCUGCGCCGGGGGAGUUGCGUUCUCGUCAGCACAGAGCCGCAGAGCACCGCGAGGGCGGAGCUGCGUUGUCCUCUGCACAGAUUUCGGUGGUACUGCGAAGGCGGAGCAGAGUUCUCGUCAGCCAUGAAUAAUCAAGGUGAGAGACCAGUUAGAGCGGUUCAGUGCGGAAAACGGGAAAGCAAAAGCCCCUCUGAAUGCUGCGCACCGAGAUUCUCCCAAGGCAAGGGGAGGGGCUGCAUUGCAGGGUCCACUUGCAGCGUCGGAACGCAAAUGCAGCAUUCCUAAUGCACACAUGAUACCCAAAAUAUAACACCC
rnacentral:lncRNA from 1 species